GGAACGCCUUGUGAUCGCGCGUCACCAGAGAGAAAGGCCUUUCCCUUUCUUCUCGCGCUUGUCCCUCAUUCCCCACGCAGGCCUCUAGUUCUCCAUUUCAGAAUUCAUUCUAUUCCUGUGCCCGAAAUAAAACCCACGUUUUUCUUGCUUGUAAUUUAAAGGUUGCAAGAAAAACUCCUCGGCCCCUCGGACCAUCUUUCCUGUUUCCAAAUGCCGGGGACCAGUGUCUGUGACUGCGCCGCCUGCCUGAGGGCAUGUACUGAAAAGCCCUGCGACUCCAACAUGUGGGACUCACAAGCACCUUGGACAGGCCUCAAAACGCGGCUGACAUACAGAAUUUUUACCAUUAACGACCUGAGGCAGGACUGGUGGAGGUCAGUUCAUUAGUUACUGAUCUCAAGAAACAAGUCAGGACUAUUUUCUAAUGUGCUUCUUUCAAGUUAGUGUGGAAAGAGCUGAUGCAUCUGUUGUAGCUGACGGAAUUUAAGGAACUGAAUAAUUGACAAGAUUUCCAGAAAAGCAGGGUCGCCAGAUAAUGCUACCUGUUUGCGAAUGAUUGUUACCGUAAUGCUCUAGAGAGCUAAUCCUUUCUCGGCCUAGUCAGAUGAUUUUAAAUCAUUUGAUUUUACAGAGCUUUAGUUUCAGUUUUUUAAAUGAAAAUGGGGAUGGGAUUAGGUCAUCUUCUAACACCCACGACAGCCAUAAAUUGAUAAUCUAUGGAUCCAUAUUUAAAGUUACUGAUAAAAAUAACCACAAUUGACCAGCCUCCCUUCCCUGUUAGGAAAUGCUUUAUAUUUUAAUUUAGCAACCCAUGUGACCAACCCUUUUAGAAUUGAACUGGCUCUCCCUAGGAAAGGUUAGAAAUCUAAUCAGUUAUAGUAAGUUUCUGUUAACAAAUGGGGAGUGGUCGACUUGGAGUUUGGAAAAGGGGAGCGUAAAGUCUAAAAGUUUGUUAAUUUAUCUAGCCGUUGCUCCAGGAGGACCUGUGUUAUAGUUUGGAAACAUUUACAAAGGGUAUUUUUGUGGGGCAGAAAACAGUUAGCAGUCCUUAAUGUAAUUUGGUUGAAAUAACCGUUCAAACCAGACUCCUCCUGUUGCUUUGAUUCCUUUUUCGCAAACUUUCUUAUGUUCUACGUAUCCAGGUGCUCCUGAUGGCCAGCAAUAGACUUGAG
rnacentral:lncRNA from 1 species